GGAUGGUCAGCCACACUGGGACUGAGACACUGCCCAGACUCCUACGGGAGGCUGCAGUCGAGGAUCAUUCGCAAUGGGCGCAAGCCUGACGAUGCGACGCUGCGUGGAGGAUGAAGGCCUUCGGGUCGUAAACUCCUGUCAGUCGGGAACAAUGGUCCCGUCGCGAAUAGCGGCGGGCAGCGAUAGUACCGGCAGAGGAAGCCACGGCUAACUCUGUGCCAGCAGCCGCGGUAAUACAGAGGUGGCGAGCGUUGUUCGGAUUUACUGGGCGUAAAGGGCGCGUAGGCGGUCCCGUGUGUCGGACGUGGAAUCCCGCCGCUCAACGGCGGAACUGCGUUCGAAACUGCGGGACUAGAGUGCAGGAGAGGAGAGCGGAAUUCUCGGUGUAGCGGUGAAAUGCGUUGAUAUCGAGAGGAACACCGGUGGCAAAGGCGGCUCUCUGGAAUGCAACUGACGCUGAGGCACGAAAGCGUGGGGAGCAAACAGGAUUAGAUACCCUGGUAGUCCACGCCCUAAACGGUGCACACUUGGUGUGGGGAGAUUUGACCCUCCCCGUGCCGGAGCUAACGCGUUAAGUGUGCCGCCUGGGAAGUACGGUCGCAAGAUUAAAACUCAAAGAAAUUGACGGGGGCCCGCACAAGCGGAGGAGCAUGUGGCUUAAUUCGAUGCAACGCGAAGAACCUUACCAGGGUUUGACAUGCAACUGCACGCCCCGUGAAAGCGGGGCUCCUUCGAAGGUGUUGCACAGGUGCUGCAUGGCUUUCGUCAGUUCGUGCCGUGAGGUGUUGGGUUAAGUCCCGCAACAAACGCAACCCCUGUGCUUAGUUGCCCCCUCCGAUGAUGAGUCGGAGAGCACUCUAAGCAGACUGCCCGUGAUAAGCGGGAGGAAGGUGGGGAUGACGUCAAGUCAGUAUGGCCUUUAUACCCUGGGCUGCACACGUGCUACAAUGGCCGGUACAGAGGGAAGCGAGACCGCGAGGUGGAGCCAAUCCCAAAAAACCGGCCCCAGUUCAGAUUGAAGGCUGCAACUCGCCUUCAUGAAGUCGGAUUCGCUAGUAAUGGCGCACCAGCUACGGCGCCGUGAAUACGUUCCCGGGCCUUGUACACACCGCCCGUCACAUCAUGAAAGCCGUCUGCACCCGACGUCGCCGGUACAACCGCAAGGGGGAAGGUGCCUAAGGUGUGGGUGGUGAUUGGGAUGAAAUCGAAACAAGGUA
rnacentral:rRNA from 1 species